rnacentral:rRNA from 1 species
UGAGGGAUAUUGGUCAAUGGGCGCAAGCCUGAACCAGCGACGCCGCGUGGGUGAAGAAGGUCUUCGGAUCGUAAAGCCCUUUUCCCACUGAAGAGGAAGGACGGUAGGUGGGGAAGAAGUCUCGGCUAACUACGUGCCAGCAGCCGCGGUAAAACGUAGGAGACAAGCGUUAUCCGGAGUUACUGGGCGUAAAGGGCGUGGAGGUGGCGUCUUAAGUCUGUUGUGAAAGCGCCUGGCUUAACCGGGCGAGGCCAAUGGAGACGGAGAGGCUGGAGGACGGCGGAGGGGUGUGGAAUUCCGGUUGUAGUGGUGAAAUGCGUAGAGAUCCGGAGGAACACCAGAGGCGAAGGCGGCACUCUAAGCCGUACCUGACACUGAGACGCGACAGCACGGGGAGCAAACG